rnacentral:tRNA from 1 species
UACCCAAUUAACUCAGUGGAUAGAGUGAAAGGUUUCUAACCUUGGAGUCGGGAGUUCGAGUCUCUCAUUGGGUGCUAA